rnacentral:rRNA from 1 species
CCUACGGGAGGCUGCAGUGAGGAAUAUUGGUCAAUGGGCGCGAGCCUGAACCAGCCAAGUCGCGUGAGGGAAGACGGUCCUAUGGAUUGUAAACCUCUUUUGUCGGGGAGCAAAAGACGCCACGCGUGGCGUUCCGAGAGUACCCGAAGAAAAAGCAUCGGCUAACUCCGUGCCAGCAGCCGCGGUAAUACGGAGGAUGCGAGCGUUAUCCGGAUUUAUUGGGUUUAAAGGGUGCGUAGGCGGAAUAUCAAGUCAGCGGUAAAAAUUCGGGGCUCAACCCCGUCGUGCCGUUGAAACUGAUGUUCUUGAGUGGGCGAGAAGUAUGCGGAAUGCGUGGUGUAGCGGUGAAAUGCAUAGAUAUCACGCAGAACUCCGAUUGCGAAGGCAGCUUGCUGCAGCGGAACUGACGCUGAUGCUCGAAAGCGCGGGUAUCGAACAGGAUUAGAUACCCGAGUAGUC